UACAGAGGGGGCAAGCGUUGUUCGGAAUUACUAGGCGUAAAGGGCGCGUAGGCGGCCUGUUAAGUCGAACGUGAAAUCCCCGGGCUCAACCCGGGAACUGCGUCCGAUACUGGCAGGCUUGAAUCCGGGAGAGGGAUGCGGAAUUCCAGGUGUAGCGGUGAAAUGCGUAGAUAUCUGGAGGAACACCGGUGGCGAAGGCGGCAUCCUGGACCGGCAUUGACGCUGAGGCGCGAAAGCUAGGGGAGCAAACGGG
rnacentral:rRNA from 1 species